AUUUUAAAUUGCAGAUUGGAAACUCCUUUUCGAUCUUUCUUCUUAUUCACUUGAAGUCUAAAGCAACCAUUCUCUUUAAAAUCCUUUCUCUAUUCCCCAUUUUUCUUUUCGUCCUGGAUUUUUCUCAACUAUUCGGGUUGAGAAAGAAUUAGCUAUUCUUUUUGGGCGUUUUCUUGCUAAAUGCGGAUGUUUGAUUGGGUUUUUUUUUUUACGGGUUUGGGCUUUUAUUUAUUAGGGAUUUUCCGUACUCUUCUGGGGGUUAAGUAGCUUGAUUUGCCUGAUAAUUUGUUGAAGAGUGAGAUUCCAAAGGGCAGUGAUGGCUUGAGCAAUUUGAGGGGCAUAGUGUGAGGAAGAAUCAAAUAAUCAAUUUUCUGGUGGUGUUCCUAAUGGAAUUGGAGAUUGUUCAAUGUUAAUGUCUGUUGAUUUGAGUGAAAUUUCUCUUUAUGUUUGGCUUCGAAGCACAAUGCAGAAGCUUUCCUUCUGUAAUGGAGUCGUGCCCGGAGUCCAUGAGCAAUUGCCUAAACCCUCUGGUUUCGGAUAUUAACCAUAUUUCCUUAACUGAAGAUCUUCCUUUUUGGGUUUCGAAACUGGGCUUACUGCAAUUUCUGCUUUCAGAUAAUAGAUUAAAUGGGAGCAUGGACUGUGUUCUUUCUUCAUCGACCAAGAAUUCUCUUAGAAAGCUUGUGAUUUUGGUUGUCUUCCAGAAUAAGUUAUCUGGUAAAAUUCCAUCAGCUGCUGGUGACUUCAGCGGUUGCAGUUAUUGAAUAUCUCAAGAAACUCAUUUUUACGCAGCAUUUCUGCAAGUCUUGAACGAUUGAAGAAAUUGCUAGGCAACAUUCCCAAGUCUAUUGGGAACUGCUCUUUACUGAUGACCUAGUAAGAUAUCCCCCGGCUUUAUGACUUAUUUUAGCUUCCUUUGUGCUUUUCUCUCGCUUCGUUUUUAGCAAUUUUUAUUUGACAAAACCAGGCAACCUGUUAAUUGGUUUCGUAGGACUGAGAAAAACUAGAACUUAGUAGGAUUCUGAGAAAAACUAGUAUAAUUGUUCUGAGCAUGUUGGCUAAUGAAUUUUAUUCCCAAAGAAAUUUUGUCUUUGUAGUCGAGAUCGAUUUCUAAUUUAGCUGUAUCAUUUGCCUCAAAUUGGUUAAGGUGUGUUGCCAGCUUCUUGUGAAAAUUUUAAUUGCUAGAGUUAAUGAAAUGUUUAAUCUAGAAGAUAUCUGAAUAUACUGGUAAUGUAAAAUGAAUUGCAUUUAGUAUUUGAUGGGAUCUAUGUAUUCCUAGUCUGUUGAGUAAUUAGUAGAGCAUUGCUGUUCACAAAGAAACAAUUGAGACAAAAAUCUCUUUCUGAGCAACUCCUUAUUUCGCACUACCAUUCUAACUGAGCUUCUUUUUGGCUUUUGCUGAAUUUUUCAGGUCUUGGGCACACAACGAAAUAAGUGGCUAUAUUGCUGCAUCCCUUGCAAAUCUUGUUUACCUUGUUCAUAUUGUCGACUUCUCGUCUACUUUUACAAGUUACCAUAGUUUGAUUUUGGUGAUUUGCAAAUAUGAUUGCCAUUUCUUGUUCAUUCUUCUUUGCAUACAAAAAAUCUCUUAGCAACAUUUGUAAAUGAUAUCCUAGAAAAAGAUGAAUUAGAAACAUAUAUUGUUCAUCUUAGAGCAUUUGAUGCACAAGUUUUCAUAUUUAAAAAUAAAAGGUACCAUCUCAUCAGAUCUUGAGUGAACUUGUUAACUAGUGCGUUAAAUGCCCCAAUACGAACAAUAAAUGUUUUUAAUUCGUCUUUUUCUGGGAUAUCAAAUACAGAUGUUGUCGAGAAAUUAUGAAAAUUUUGUGUGCAAAUAAGAUGAACGAGAAAUGGAACCCUAUAUUUGCAAAUCACCAAAAUAAAACUGUGAAUUCUAUUACUUGUGAUUAGAUGAGGAAAUGGAGUUUCAAACUGCUUAACAUGAAGCAUGGAGCGCAGAGAGGCUAUUGCUGCUUUUGCUGGAGAAAAAAGAAGUUAUUUCCUCAUAGCAGUUCAUGCAGAUAUGGAAGUGUUUUUAAUAUGCAAAAUGAGCAUCUUAAAUUGUAGAAAGCAUCGUGCCUUAUAAAUCUUUCCUAUCUAUUUCUUAAGCA
rnacentral:lncRNA from 1 species